rnacentral:lncRNA from 1 species
CAUGAUCCCUAGUGCACUUACGCAAUGCCAAUAUAAUCCUUAUAUUUACUAACAUUUUCUGUGGCAAUAAAUGCUUCGCCACCAAGAAUUUUGCCUCUUGUAGACACUCGCAUUAUCUGUAAUAAUUUGCCGCUGCAUGUCAUGAGCUACCAUCGUCUCCUUCAUCACUGGAGAGUCAUUAAUGACAUUAAAUCUAAUCCGAUCAAUACCAGAUAAGCAAAAUAAAUUGAAAACGCAUACUUAAGAUUCUGUUCUUUUCUGUCAGAAUCACUGUCAAUACCAAGUUUUGUAUUAGUCUGAGUUCAACAAGAGAAACAUAACCACUUCCAUAUGUGACAUAAGAGAUGUACUGCAGGGAUUUGACAUCACGCAAUUGUGUGCUACACAUACACCUGGUCCAGGAGGCGGAGAAGCUGAAAAAGGUGGAGCAGUUGUUGGCCCAGAGCUUCCCCACAGCAAUAAGUCCCCUGACAGAGACUGAAUACCUGACACACGACAUCAAGUGAAGAAGGGAUCUCAGUAGCCCGUCAUGAAGUGAGUGUCAUCUGACUCAGCAAGCCAAAGCGUUGGGCACUCAUAGCACCAGUCGAUCAGCAAGUACAAAUAGGAUAUGAGA